ACAGUCCGCCAACAGUCCAGGGAUGACCCCUCCCCGCCCCCAACCCAAAAGCCGGGACUCCACCCGGAUUGGCUGUGGGCAGCCUGGAGCCUCCCGGACCCUCCCCGGGGACGCGUUCAGAUGGUGCCACUUUCAGUCAAGACAUUUCCCCCCCCGGGAAGCAAAGCCCAGCUAUUGUUCUUAAAUCGUCUUUUUGCAACAUGUAAUCAGAGCCUCCUGGCUGUGGAACAUUUGGAAAUGUACACAAAUAGAAAAGCUGCAAAUCGCCAGCUUCCACAGCCCCGUCCCCUGGGGACAAAUCCUUGCUAAACGCUGGGUAAAUUAUCCCAAUCAUUUUUCAUUCACGCAUUUUACAUUGUUGAGAAUAUAAAAUACGUGGCGUUUUUAAUCUGCUCUCCGUCUUAAAAUUCAGAAAGAAAAUGCUUAAUGCUCUUCUUGAAAGCCGCACGUUUCCUGACCUGACGUCGAAAUGACACUGUCAUGUCCCGCUCUGAUCACCGCUCACGCCGUGACUCGCUGGCUCAGCUUGGCCACCCAGCAGCAGAGCGUGGACUCGGGAGCCAGCCCCGCCCUGGACACCAGCUCUGCCCAGGAAAACAGCCAAGCUGGCGGAGGAGAGGUGGGGGGAGCCAUCAGGGCCAGGUCGUCACAGCCAGCAGAGGUCAGAGCCGCCCGGUUGACCUGCAGACAGGUGGGAAACGACAGGUGGGAAACGACAGGUGGGUGGGUGAGUGGGGUUUCUAUGGGGAUGGCUUGUCACGCAGGUGUGGCGGCUGAGAGAGCCACUCACUUGUCCGGGACCGUGGGAGUCACGGCCCCCUCCCCUGUGAAGUGCAGGUAGCAGUGGCCUCCCGCUCCCAGGACGGUGACAAGGUGCAACAUGAGUAACGAAGAGCAGAGAGCGCUGCCAGCAGGAGAGUAGCUUCAUGAACAUCUGCUCUUGUCAUCACAGCCCUGGAGACUUUCCCGCCUCAGCCCUUUGCUUUUAAUUCCCCGCUGUUACCCGCAUGGAUGGAGGGUCCAUCCUUGGACGCAUGGCCCUCCCCUUUGGACAAAUCCCACGCAUGCUUUUGCGCC
rnacentral:lncRNA from 1 species